AAAUAAAACAGAGAGAGACGACCAAUAGUGCUCACUGGAUAAAACCGUGUAAAUAAAAUACAUAAGAAGGUACUCACAAGAGUGGAGCAGACAGACUGCUCCUUGACAACAGCGUUGGUGGUAUGAUCCCCACCUCAGGAUUACUUGGAGUCCAGAAUGAUAAAAUGCCAGGUAAAAAUGAUAAAAAUAUAUAAAGUGUAUUAAAAGAAAAUUGGCACAAUAAAAGGUGACCAAAAAAUCUUUAAUAGAAUAAAAUACACAGUAUAAAUAUCCACAAGCGCGUUUCGCCAACAAGGAUUCCUCAAUAUGGAAUAAUUGAAGAUUAUUUACACUGUUUUAUCCAGUGAGCACUAUUGGUCGUCUCUCUCUGUUUUAAGUGUUGAACAAACCUUUGCAAGAAGAGGCCUGCACCAUAUCCCAUAAGCGGGGAUUAUACCGCUGUACACUUUUCAUAUUAGAGCUAGCUAUAGUUCUAAUACAUGUGAGUGCAUUACCAUCUUCUUUUAUUAUCAGCUGUACAAUAUUGGACAUACUACGC